AUUGAACGCUGGCGGCAGGCCUAACACAUGCAAGUCGAACGAGUGGCGGACGGGUGGGUAAUGACUGGGCAACUGCCUGAUGGAGGGGGAUAAGUACUGGAAACUAUAGCUACUACCGCAUACAAUCCGCUGUGCCCAGGUGGGCUUAGCUAGUUGGUGGGGUAAAGGCUUACCAAGGCGAAGAUCCCUAGCGGGUCUAAGAGGAUGACCAGCCACACUGGAACUGAGAUACGGUCCAGACUCCUACGGGAGGCAGCAUUGGGGAAUAUUGCACAAUGGGCGCAAGCCUGAUGAAGCCAUGCCGCGUGUAUGAAGAAGGCCUUCGGGUUGUAAAGUACUUUCAGCGGGGAGGCGUUACCCGCAGAAGAAGCACCGGCUAACUCCGUGCCAGCCGCCGCGGUAAUAC
rnacentral:rRNA from 1 species